rnacentral:lncRNA from 1 species
AAAGGGGGCAUCUUACUAACAGAUGUUGAAAGUUUAUAUAGGCACAGAAUAUGUCAUGCAAGUGAGCUGUUUACAAGGAAUGUUGAAACAAGAAGCAUUAACAAAAAAUUUAAAACAUCAUAAAGAUGUUUGCAAAACCCCAGCAUGCUGUUGUAAAAAAACAAGUUGAAACCGGUUUAGAUACUUAGUGGUAAAUUCCCAGUUCUGAUGAACGAUGACCCUCCUGUCCACUAGAGGUCACUCUUUGGAAAUGACUUUGCCCCAGGCAGUUGGCAGCUUGCAAAAAAUAGCGUCAUUGUACCUGUCCCUUUUUGGUCCAGAGUUGCAAAGGCCCCAUAUUUCUUAUGAGGUGAGCUGAAUUUGUUCUGGCCAGUUGUACAGUGUCUAGGUUUCAUUUUGACUUUGUAAUUCAAAACCAACCAUGGGGAUUUCACGCUGUGGUGCAGUGGGUUAAACAUCUGAGAGCAGUGACUCAGAUCACUGCAGAGGCACCGGUUUGAUCCCUGGCCAGUACAGUGGGUUAAAGGAUCCAGCUGUGACAGCUGCAGCUUAGAUUCAACCCCUGGCCCAGGAACUUUCAUAUCCUGAAGGUACAGCCAUAAAAAAAUAACAACAACAAAAACUCCGCCAUGAAUUUUGACGGAGAGCAGUUUCACUUUGGCUCUGGCCUGUAACCCAAACAUCAGAUUGGGUUUUGUUGCUUCUGGAUUUCUUUCCCUUCCUUGAUGCUGGAUUCCCACUUAUAUAUGUCUUUGUUAAAUGUCUGUCUGUUCUCUCUCUCAUAGUGACAUUGGCAUUCUGGCAAAAGCAAAAAUAUCUGCUUCCUGCUUUUUGUUCUCAGGAAAGACUCCAGGAACAUAUUUAGGGGAAUACUUCUCAAGGAUGGAAUUUCCGUGCUUUAAAGAAUUUUUAGCAAGGAGGGUGGUAUGUAGUGAGGGGAAAAGUUCCUUCUCAUACCUCAGUUUGCCCGUUCAUUAUCUUUGGAGAUAAGGUAAUUUCCAUUUAAAGGUAUUUUAUCAGGAAGCUAGUGAAACUUAAACUUGUACAAGCCCUAACUCGUACAAGUCCUGUACUUGUCUUUGUUUUCUUAAAUUUAAAUUUUUUCUUAAAGAGAAAUUAUCAAGUUCUAAAAGCUCCUGACCCUAAAAUUGAGUCUAUACCUAGUUUUAAGACUUUGGAGUGAGGUGGGGAUUCAAGUUCUGGCCCAGUGAGACUGGGCAAGUUACUUAACCUCUCUGAGCUUCAAUUUUCUUGUCUGAUAGUGUUGGGUUUCUUGAAGAGUCCAAACACAAGUAUAAUUUGAUGCUCACAGUUCCCUGAACACAUUAGGGAACUUCAAGAUGGAAGGAACCUGAGGAGAAAAAGACAGAUCCAUACCUGGUUUGAACUGCUUGGGACCUUCUGUAGGAAGACAUCUAGGAACAAGACAGUUGGGGCUGCCUCAUGGCAUAUGGAUCCUAGGCCAGGGAUCAGAUCUGAGCGGCAGUUGCAACCUAUGCCACAGCUGCAGCAAUGCUGUAUCCAUUAAUCCAGUGUGCCUGGCUUGAACCUGUGGAUUGAACCUAUGUCGCAGCACUCCAGAAACACCAUCAAUCCCAUUGCACCACUGUGGGAAUUCCUAUUUUUAAAUUUUUGAGGCAUUUCCAGGCUGUAUUCCUCUAGGCUGGGUCAAUUUACACUCCUACCAACAAUGUGCAAGGGUUCCCUUGUCUCCUCAUCCUCCUGGACACUUUGUUAUUUCUUGUCUUUAAUGAUGGCUGUUCUGACAGGUGUGAGGUGAUAUCUGGUACUUUUGAUUUGCAUUCCCCUGAUGAUGAAUAAUAUUGAGCAUCUUUUCCUGUACCUUGUUGGACCCCAUUCUCAUCUCGUCCUGCAGUCAUAAAAGUGUGAAAGCCCUUGGAAGUCAGUUUAGAAUAAAUUGUUGUGGAGUCCCUGGGGCCUGGCAGUUAAAGGGCCCAUUAAAGCCAUGACUAUGGCAAUAAUAAUAAUAAUAAUGAAUAAAAUAAAAUAAAUUGUCGCAGAUGCCCAGAGUAAUCACCUGAGGGCAGUGCAGCAUGAGGAUUAUUCAGCCAGCAUCGCAGACUCAUCAGAUCCUCAGGGGAUACCUUCUAGGACCCCACUGGAUGCCUGAAGCCACAGAUAGUUGCACCUGUGGCAUAUGGAAGUUCCUGGGCUAGGGGUUCAAUCAGAGCUGCAGCUGCCAGCCUAUACCACAGCUACAGCAACACCGGAUCUGAUCUGUAGCUCCAACCUAUGACACAGCCUGUGCCAACACCAGAUCCUUCACCCACUGAGCGAGGCCAAGGAUGGAACUCAUCCUCACGGAGACUAGUCAGAUUCUUAACCCACUGAGCCACAGGAACUCCCCCCAAUAAAGUUUAUAAGUUAGGCACAGUAAGAGAAUAACGACAAUAAUU